UACGAAGGGGGCUAGCGUUGUUCGGAAUUACUGGGCGUAAAGCGCACGUAGGCGGACAUUUAAGUCAGGGGUGAAAUCCCAGAGCUCAACUCUGGAACUGCCUUUGAUACUGGGUGUCUUGAGUAUGGAAGAGGUGAGUGGAAUUCCGAGUGUAGAGGUGAAAUUCGUAGAUAUUCGGAGGAACACCAGUGGCGAAGGCGGCUCACUGGUCCAUUACUGACGCUGAGGUGACGAAAGCGUGGGGGAGCAAAACAGG
rnacentral:rRNA from 1 species